GACGAACGCUGGCGGCGUGCCUAACACAUGCAAGUCGAGCGGGGUCCAACCAGUGGCAACACUGGGGAAGACCUAGCGGCGAACGGGUGAGUAACACGUGAGAAACCUACCCCGAAGACUGGGAUAACUCCGGGAAACCGGAGCUAAUACCGGAUGCCCUCAUCAGGUCGCAUGGCUAGAUGAGGAAAUGCGGUACUAUCUAGUACAGGCGCUUCGGGAGGGUCUCGCGGCCUAUCAGCUAGUUGGUGAGGUAACGGCUCACCAAGGCGUCGACGGGUAGCUGGUCUGAGAGGACGAUCAGCCACACUGGGACUGAGACACGGCCCAGACUCCUACGGGAGGCAGCAGUGGGGAAUCUUGCGCAAUGGGCGAAAGCCUGACGCAGCAACGCCGCGUGGGGGAUGACGGCUUUCGGGUUGUAAACCCCUUUUC
rnacentral:rRNA from 1 species